GGGGGCGGGGAGGGCGGGAGAUAAAGGAAGAAACUGAAGGCGCCUUGUCUCGACUCCAGCCAGCUUAGUUCUUUGGAGAAGCAGUGUGGAGUCCUAAAAAAGGAGGCUGAGUCUUACCGUUGAGGUCGGUGCCGGUAGAGAAUGGGAGGGAGUCUGCAGGAGCCAAGCACCCUAAAGAAGAGGAAGAGAGCACGUUGCUGAGAUUUGAACAGCGACCUGAGAGGUCAGACUGGACCCAGGCCUCCUCAAGAUUGGCUUCCCAUGGGACCUGCAACUGUCUGGAAACAAAAAAAGAAGCCUACCAAAAGGGGAAAUUUAAAGGAGAGCAAGAAACCAUGAAGAGAGAGCCGAAAACGCGAAAGUAAAGAGUUGCCCAACUUAUUUAAAAGCAUGCGUAAUUUUGCCCGGGAGUUUCCGCAGCGUACUCUAACUUUUCUCCGCCUGCUUCCUUGGACCCAAUUUUCUUGUUCUUAUUCUGGAAGGUUUUUUUGUUUGUUUGUUUGUUUGUUUUUUGUUUGUUUGUUUUUUAACUUGACUUUACUUUGCCUGGGAACUGCACGUUUGCAUACUCCUGCAGGCUCUCUACCCUUGGCAAUGGACAGAGAAUAGCAUCCGGGCGGGAGGCUUGGCUGGGAAAGAAAGCCCUGGCGUCACCCGCGGGUUCAGUCUAGGCACUCCCCUCAGAGUACCGCAGGAGCAGGCAGAGCCACUGGCCUAUACAACCUCUGGGCUGCUGGCUACUGGGGUGAUCUGGGCCAGCGUGAUCUUAUUGAAUUUACUAAUGACCAGAGAGAUUUCUUAAGCCAAGUCCCCAGAGAACGAAUCCAAAAUGAGUAAAACAGUUGCCACUCCAGGCUCUGGCCAAGGUUGGGAAUCACAGCUCCUUCUCUGGCCUCCUCCAGUUGGAGCACGAGGUGAGCUCACUGGUGGGCUCCGCUCUCGGGGGGGGGGGGGGGGGGGGUUGUGGUCUGCGCUGCAGCAUACUGUUGAAGACACUUCUGGUAUGUUUCUGGAAACAUAUUACUGAGGUUUGUCUUUCUUUCUUUCUUUCUUCCUUCCUUUCUUUCUUUCUUUUUUUUUCUUCUGCAACAGACUUAGUGUAAAUCUUUACUAAUAAUAGUACUGUCCUAAAAGC
rnacentral:lncRNA from 1 species